AAACUCCAAAAUGAAUUUAAAGGCCAAGUUUUCAACAACAAUAAAACAAUUUCAUAGACCCUUCAAUUUCUACAUAUAGAUAGUACAAUGUUAGUUUGUUUAUUAACGUGUUAAUAGAUCUACAAGUGAAGAUUGUAGUGAGUAUAAAUCAUGAACAAGUUUUUAUUCAUUUGUCUUAUUCUCCUUGCUACUGAGAUGGUGGUACAAAUCGAUGGAAUACGUACUGAAAGAAGGAUUUAUCAUUUUCAAGGGAUUUGUUUUAGUGAACGCAGUUGUGCUAGAAUUUGUAAUAUUGAAGGUUAUGUUGCAGGUGGUAUAUGCAAUGAAACCAAAAGUGGGUUCUAUAAUCAUUGCUAUUGCAGAAGGGGUUUGUAACAAAAGUCGGUACUCUUGUGUUUUUUGUCGUCUUUAUAAUAAUUUGCAUCUUGUGUUAUUGUUUCUCAAUGUAUUUUUCAUCUAAAAAGUAGAAAUAUUUUGCACCAUUUUCAUUAUUGAUAGUCGAACAUUUAAAAGUUGUUUUUGAGUGAGAUUAGAAGAUAUCUCCAAGAGAACAAAAUAGUUAUUUCUAAGGGAAAAUAUUGUUUUGAAACUGGAUUGAACUAUUCGGUUGAACCGGUUCAACUUUGAGCUGUAGUUUAGUUUGAUUUAGUUUGGACCAAUAAAUCGGGUCUAUAAAAUUUGGAAAAAACCGUUUUAACCACACAAAUCGAAGUAACUGCAAAUUUGGGACCGAUUUUGCUGAAGCAGAUGAUUCAAAAAAUCAAAGUUAAUUUUUAGGCUAAAUUACUCCCGUGGUCCUUUAAGUAAUUUAAUUGUAACACUUUGGUCCCUUAUGUUGAUUUCGCUACAACUAUGUCCUUUAAGUUGGCUAACGCCUUCAGCGUUGCCCUUGUCCACAGAUUCUGUUCCAAAAAACGUGAUGUGGCACAAACGGUGCUUAGGUGUGACUUAACCUUGCUGACUAUGUCUGUUAAGUCACUUAAAGAGAAAGAUAAAUGGCUGAAACUAACAAUUAGAAGAACAAAACAUAAAACCCCAAAUUCCAGAACCAUAAUUUUGAAAUUCAUCAUCAAUGGCUCAAUACAGUGGCAGUGGAACAAAUGUGAGAGCUGAGAACGCCUUUUCGCUAAUUUCAAGUGGAUCCCAAUCAGGAAUCGAACCAACAUGCAUGUGUGGAUCCAUAGCUGUGAUACGUUCAGUUAAGAAGAAAGGAAGGAACUUGGGAUGAACAUGAGAAUGUUGGCUGCAAUUUCUUUAUGUGGUAUGAAAACCAACAAAGUGAUGAAGGCAAACCAGAGACACCACCAAAUGCAUUCUUAAAGUGUUUCAAAUGUGAUAAAAAGGAGGUACAAAUUAAGAUGCUUAUGAAGGAUGACACAUACAAUAAGGAGAUGAUGAAGAACGUCUUGAAGAUGUUGAAGAUCCUUUUUUAUGCCUUGAUAUGUUUAAUUCUGAUUAUUGUAGUGUUGAUUUGUAUGUUGUUUAAAAAUAGGUGAUCUUAGUUUAUG